UGAUCCAAAUAAGCCCGUUGGUGCGGGAAAUAAAACAAGGGAAGAAAGGAUGAUGGAAAAGGAAGCAAAGCAGAAGGAAAGGGAAGCAAAGCAGAAGGAAAGGAAAGAAAAGCAGAAUGAAAUAGAUUUGGCAAAGGAAGCAAAGCAGAAGGAAAAAGCUUUGGCAAAGGAAGCAAAGGAGCAGGAAAAGAUAGACAAAAAGAAGAGAGAGAAAGCAAGGAAAUGGGGAGUACAAAUGUCAAGGAGAAUUAAUAAAUUAAAGGAACAACUAGCAAAGAAAAGGUUAAAGGCAUCAAUCGCAAGGGCAAAGGAAAUAGCAAGGGAAGAAAGGGAAAGGGAAAUGGGAAGAGUCAGAGAAAAGCCCAACGAGGAGAAAUAAAAUAAGGGAAGAAAUGGAAAGGGAAAGGGAAUGGGUCAGAGAGAAGGCCAAGGCAUUAUUAGUUGUAAAAAUAAAAUAUAAAAUAAAGCAUACACUAUAAAUAUACAAAAUAGUAAUAAUAAUAAGAUUGACGUUGUAUACCUUUCAAAAAAAUAUUGGUGGUAUAUGUUUUACUUACCAUGUAUAAUUAUUUAUGUAAACUUAUGUAGGUGAUCAUUUUUAUUUUUAUUUUUAUAACAGAUUUGCUUCUUUAAUCUCAUU
rnacentral:lncRNA from 1 species